CAUUACUGGGUUGGGGGUACAGGGUUUGAGAGCAUUGGCCCUAGCAACAGAAUGCCCACAGGUUUGCUUCCCGAUUCUGUAACACUUGCUGUGUGACCUUUCAUCAGUUCCCUAACCUCUCUGUGCCCUGGUUUCUUCAUCUAGAAAAGGAGAAUAAUAAGAUUACCUCGGGUUUGGCAUUGGAUAAAAUAAUAUAUGCCUGUAGCACACAGUUAAGCACUUAAUAAGUGUGAGCUGUUAUUAUUACUAUUAGUGAGAGUUCUCUCUCAAUGGUACUGUCAAUCCUGUGGUUUCUGAGAAGGACGGAGACCUACACAACACCUCACGGGAGUCUGACCCCGGGAUGGGAGUCGCGCAUCUGCUAUCUCGACCUCCUUUCCAGGACCCCGUGCUCCCCGCUGGAAUGAUGCUUGGGAAGAGCCUGGUACUCACAGCCUGGUUUGCCCUUGCUGUGGCUUACCCCGUCAUACGCCAGGAAUUCAUUGGUGACCUAAACUUGAUCACUAAGCUUGAGUUGAUUAAUGAAUUUGAGUUGACCGCUGAACUAGAGUUGGCCAUCGCAGAAUCCAUUGCCUUCCUGGAAUCCCUCACUGACCUGGAGUCCAAUGCGACCCCUGAAUCCCCCAGUGACCUGGAGUCUACUGACACCCUGGAGUCCAUCGCUGACCUGGAGCCCACCAUGACCUCAAAGUGCCCCACUGAUGAGGAGUUCACUGCCACCCCCGAGUACCCUGCUGACUUGGACUCUACCGUGACCCUGGAGUCCACUGCCACCCCAGAGUCCCCCAUUGACCUGGAGUCCACCAUGACCCCAAAGUGCCCCACUGACCUGGAAUCCACCGCGACCCCAGAGUCCCCCACUGACCUGGAGUCCACCUCGACCCCAAAGUGCCCUACUGACCUGGAGUCCACUGCAACCCCAGAGUCUCCUGCUGACCUGGAGUCCACCGCGACCCUGGAGUCCCCUGCUGACCUGGAGUCCCCUGAUGAGCUGGAUUCUACUGCGACCCCAGAGUCCCCUGCUGAUCUGGAAUCCACCCUGACCCUAGAGUCCACCACUGACCUGGAGUCUCCUACUGACCUUGCCUCCAUUAGUGAUGUGGUAUCGACCAUGGGUGUGCAUUUUGAGGACACACGGGCUUUUGAAGAUGUCACUGAGGCUGAUUCAGAAGAGCCCAUGACUGGAAGACCAGAUGAGCUGAGCACCUCUGUGUGAAGCAACGAGUCCAUCUCAGUACUUUUUUUGAAAUGAAGCUGAUUUUCCAUUAGUUGCGAACAUCACUCUUCUAGCCACAAGUUUUUAAAGAAGAUCCUGAGCUACUGAACAAGGCUUCCGUUCCAUUAUAGGAGACUGAUUAACUGUAAAGGACUAGUAAGACAUAAGAUGUACCAGUUGAGGAUAAACUGAGUGGCGGGACUUUUACCCACACAGAGGGGGGCUAUCUCUUAACCAUGUCCCAUCUCCUGGGGGCUCAAUAAAUGUUGUUUAGAACUGAAUUUUGAGAACGGU
rnacentral:lncRNA from 1 species